rnacentral:ncRNA from 1 species
CUUGAGGAUACGGGCCAAGAGGGAAAGCCGUGAGAACCGGCUGCAGUACCCGCUGCUGUGAUUCCUAAAAUCGUCUCCACAUACACGAGAGACAGGGCUGAGUAUAGGUCACUGAGGACUACAACCCUUGGGAAGGCCGCUCACCGUAGCCAUUAGGAUAAGCCAGAAGACCUGCCUGUUGCU